GGUGAUCCUUAUUGCCGUUUUCCAGUGAUGACCCCCUUGUGUGCAUAGUUUCAUUCCAAGUAGGUAUUUCAUUCGCUUAUUUAGGCUGGAGGCUGAGUCCAAAAAAUGUACCAUUACUGCGGAAUCAAUUGACGAGCCUCUUUGGCUGCAGUGAACUUGUCUUCAUGAGGGCUCAAAACCUCCAUCGAUGACGACUGCUGUUUUGCCAGGGAGCCAUGAACCUGAACCUGAACUCGAAGGUUGUCGAGGGCGAGUGGUCAGGACGAUAGACUAGAAUCCAUUGGGGUCUCCCCGCGCAAUUCCAAAUUGUCUGUUCUUUAGAUAGGUCUCGUUUUUCCCAUCCCAUGUUUGAACAUAAGCAAGCGAUGGUGGUAUAGUGGUGAGCAUAGCUGCCUUCCCAGCAGUUGACCUGGGUUCGAUUCCCGGCCAUCGCAGGUGUUUUCCUCUGUAUCACUUACACUAUCUUAAAGUGUUUAGGUUCAAACCGCCAGUCGGUCUUUCGUCAGUGACAAGUUUGGGAGCACCAAUGUGAGAAUGGCGGAAAGCCUUCCCUGUGUCCGAAGCCUGGUGAUCCUUAUUGCCGUUUUCCAGUGAUGACCCUCGGGCAUUUCGUUUGCCCGGUGGGCAGUGGUACCAGGUAUCAUUUAUUUAAUGUUUGUUUCAGCCCUAAAUAGUCCGCACCGUUUAUUCAAGUGGAUCUUCGCUCGUGGCCCUGAACGUCCUUGCAUGGCAGUGAUAGACUCUAAAAUAAUCUGGUCUCACCUGACCCGUUUGCAGUUCUGAAGAAGGAGGUCCGUCAGUUGACCUGCCAACCUGGGAUCAAGUUAGGUUUGUGGUCUUAUGUGACCAGUCCAGCUGACUUCAUGGAGAUGUUGCGGGCUAACCGGACCAGUCAAGCUAACACCGCGUUUUCUAGCCUAACGCAACCUUCUAUCGGACUCCAGUCACGCCUCAUGGAUAUUGGGAAGCAAGAGUUGGCAUGUUUCUUAAAACUGGGGUCAUGAGUCGUGAUCUACUUGGCUACGGCACCCGCUAUCUGCUUUGCUGCUGUUCUGCAUGUUAACCGCCCUAUCUUCGCAGGUUGAGCACCAGCUGUCGAGUUGGAUGUUACCUUCCUGAGUUCUCUGAACACUCACCCUAGCUUCACAUCACCGUGGCAGGUUGCUAACUGUCUCUGCAAUUCUGGUCUCCAGACGUCCUACGGCCGGCCAUGCUGCUCCGGACGUGGCGCGUACUCCGAGCUCUAAUAGAGGCGGUCCUACACACUCCCAAUAUGGAGGCCCUCGCUGGCGGGUGGCUCGCACUGAUUGCCGCUGUGCUGGUUUUGAAUCUAUACCACAACAUCUCAGGAUCCACCUCCCCAUUAUUCUCAACCUAGAAUAACUGCUAGAGCUGCAGCAGCUAACCAAGGCAUUCCCGUGAUAAGCCGGCAGCUGAUAGGGUGGUGGUCGUCGUCUGCUGUGACGUUCCACUUUCGCCCUGACCAUAACAAGCAAGCAAGCAAAGCAAAGCAAAGCAAAGCAAGAUCUGUGAAGCCACAAAGAGCUGAUAAGCACGCAUAUAACUGGUGCUGGUGUUUUCCCUUCUGGCAAUGUUGGAAGGGCACUUCAGUGUCCCCUUGCAGGGGACCACCAUUGUUCCUUACAGUCUCCCUUAAAUCUAAUCUUCUAGGUGAACGUGACCUGGCUUAACGUGUCUGUGUUUCCUAGGUUUGACGCUACCUGGCUUAUCGUGUCUGUUUCCUGGUCUAACGGGACCACAUCCAUUUCCCAAAAGAUGUCCGGAUGGACCUGUCAAGCUGACUACCUUUCUUCUUCGCGGUCUCACAGGACCAGUUAAGCUGACUACCUUUCCAUUUCGCAGUCCCGCGACCGGUCAUUCUAGAUAAUAGCCAGUUGCGCGGUCUGAGCUCAAUCCGUCAAGCGAUGGAGUCGGGUCAGCGGGCUAACUGGAUCAGUCAAGGACACCCAUGUGACCAUCUGUUUCCCGGUCUGGGCAAACCCGGUCAAGUUGUUCUGUGAGGGGCCCCUCCACUACUAAGUCUAUUCUGCGGC
ensembl:lncRNA